AGAUUUCCAUUUCAGCUACCAUGAAAAAGAUGUAGAAGUUCUGAAAAUGAAUGAUUGAAAAUGGAAAGAACUGCAAAUGGACACAAGAUUGUGGCUUCACCUUAUUGCUGGAGAGUUAAAAGUCAAGAAAUGACGCCAGGACAACUUACUUAGCACAGAUGACACCAAGCUAUGAAGUACUGUGCAGUCUAUGGAAGAUGUCCUUAAAAUACAAGCUGAUUUGAACACUCUGAAUGAUUGGGCAUCAACUUGGCAAAUGAGGU